rnacentral:lncRNA from 1 species
UUUUAGCACGCACUAAACCAACAAAAUGCAUCAUCCUAAAACAGGUUGUUCUUUACACUCACGAAAAAACAAUAUUUACUAUCCAUUCCAUGCAUACAUACAGGGAAGAAAGUAUCAGCUUAUUUUUUCCUCUCAAUGGGAAUAGAUGGUAGGAAGAUCAAACUUUUUUUUCUCUCCAUCUAAUAAUACAGGGAAGAAACUAAUUUGAGUUGUAGCAAGUAGCAAGCAAGGGCAGCUAGAAUAGAGCACAACCACGCAAGAACUAGUACUGCAACUCAUUGAGACAUUUUGUCAAACAUAUAGCGUGCACACUACUAUGAAACAGGAAGAAGAAACUAGUUGAGCCUUGUGUUGCAUACUGCUGAUAGCCUGUGAGGAUCAAAUCAUCUAGUCGACAGGAUCAUCACGAAUUCUUGUAUUUUCAGGCAUAAGACAAGAACAAUUUGUGGGAUACAAGGGGAAUUGCGCGAGAUCGGAGACCCCGUCUUGGUUUGCUAGCUAGGGUUCUAUCUACUGCUAUGGCAUAUGCUUAGAAUAUUCGUGCCGAUCCUUCCUUCUCACGUGGUUUAUAAGCUACACGCCAGCUCUCGAUAAUGUACUGUUACAUUUCAUAACGGUGUCGACAAAUAACCGCUACAGGGUGAAACGAUGAGGAUGAAUCAUAGCCGUUGAUCUGUCCUGACUUCAUCCGAGCCGUCACUUCACCGAAUCUCUUCUUUUUGCAUCUCUUCUUUAGUAAACUCUCGGCUUGGGUCCUGACAAUGCCGCCGCCAUGACAAUCGCCUUGUCCUCGAGGCGAAAAAGCUUGUGGCUUGGGAAGGUGUUGUUGAGGAACGCUGCGUCUUCCCAUGUUGCAUCAUCUGGAGCUAAGCUUUCCCACUGCACCAGGCAUUGAACCACCGGGGCUUUGUUCCUUUGUAUCGUGUGCCUAUCCAGGACUGCUACUGGUAUGGUCUUAACAUAACCCUCUGGUGUCACCAAGGGCACAUGAGGAAGAGGAACAACUUUGUGGCCGAUGUGUUUCUUCAGUUGGCUAAUGUGAAAUACUGGGUGUAUGUUAGUCCCUGCUGGUAAGUCUAGCUUGUACGAGACUUCUCCCACUCUUUCCAGAAUUCUGUACGGACCAUAAAACUUUGACCUGAGCUUUAGAGAGCCCCUUAAACCAAAAGCAUUCUGUCGAUAUGGCUGGAUUUUAAGAAAAACCCUGUCACCCACUUCUAGCUGCCUCUCAGUCCUUUUCCUGUCCGCAAAAUGCUUGAUCCUGCUUUGGGCAUGUUCCAGGUUUGCUUUCAAACGUUGAAUCAUGUGCUCUCUCUCUGCAACUGUCAAUUGAGCUUCAGGAGUUAAGACUUGAUCACCUGCAAACUCCCCAAUUUGUGGAGGUUUAUAUCCAUAAAGAGCUUGAAAGGGUAUGCAUUUCAGUGAAGAGUGGUAGCUAGUAUUGUACCACAGUUCUGCCAAUGGUAACCACUGUAGCCAUUUCUUUGGUUCCCGGAAAACCAUGCCCGUGAGAUAAGCCUCCAAACAUUGAUUCACACGCUCUGUUUGGCCAUCAGUUUGAGGGUGUGAUGCUGUACUAAAUCUGAUCUGCACUCCAAAAGCACUAAACAGUUCUUGAUAUAAGGCGCUAGUGAAAAUGGAGUCUCUAUGAGACAUAAUACAAAUGGGCAAACCAUGCAGUUUAAUGACAUUAUCCAUUAGUGCUUGGAAUACUGUCUGAACUGUAUAAGGAUGAGCUAAUGGAAUGAAAUGAGAAUACUUGGUUAGCCUGUCCACUACUACCAGAAUCACUUCUUUACCCUGAGAAUUGGGAAGGGCAGUUAUGAAAUCCAUUGUGAUGUGAGACCAAGCCAUGUCAGGAACUGGUAGAGGCUGUAACAGUCCAGGAGGGUAUAUGUGCUCCACUUUGUUCAACUGACACACAGGGCACUGAUUUACAAACUGUUCAAUGUCCUUCUUCAUGUUAGGCCAGUAAAACACCCUCUUAAUUCUGUAAUAAGUGGCUUUAAUUCCAGAAUGCCCUCCUAAAGCAGAGGAGUGGAAUGUUUGUAGCAACUGUUGUCUGAAAUUUGUGCUUGCUCCCACAUAGAUCCUGUUGCUAUAUUUCAAUAGUCCAUUAUGAGUUGAAAAUUUAGGGUUUGGACCCAGGUCUGCAGCAACUUUUUGCAAGAGUUUGUCAGUGUCUGAAUCUCCCACAUAACUUUUCAUUACAUCUUCAGUCCAUGCUGGAAUGACUGAAGUUAUACUGUGGCAGUGCAUUUGCAUAGUGCUAUCUCUUCUAGAGAGUGCAUCAGCAACUGUAUUUUCCUUUCCUUUCUUGUAUUCAAUGGAGUAAUCAUAUUCCAGUAGUUUUAGAAGCAACUUGUGUUGGACUCCUUCAGUUAGUAUCUGAGUGGCCAUGUACUUCAGGGACUGUUGAUCUGUCUUGAUAAUCAACUUGUUGCCCCAUACAUAAUGUCUCCAUUUCUUUAGGGCCUCCAGAAUUGCCAUGGCCUCUUUUUCAUAGAUAGACUGGGCUACCAAUUUAGGGCCUAAACUUUUUCUUAGAUAAGCAAUAGGUCUCCCUUUUUGCAUGAGUACAGCUCCUAUUCCUUUUGCACAUGCAUCAGCUUCAAUUGUAAAAGGAAGAGUAAAGUCUGGCAUAGCCAACACAGGACAAGAGGUCAUUGCAUGUUUGAGAGCUUGGAAUGCCUUACUUUGUUUAGGUCCCCAUUUAAAAGCAUCUUUAUUUAGCAUGUCAUGUAAUGGUCUGCAAAUCUGUCCAUAAUCCUUCACAAACCUUCUGUAAUAUCCAGUCAAGCCAAGGAAACCUCUGAGUCUUGUGACAUUUUCAGGUUCUGGCCAUUCCUGCACUGAAAUGAUCUUUCCUGGAUCUGUCGCAACUCCUUUGUCAGAUAUUAUAUGUCCCAAGUAAGAAACUUGGUCUGUCGCAAAAGUGCAUUUGGAUUGUUUCACAUAGAGCUCAUGUUUUCUCAGAAUGGUGAAAGUUCUUUCUAAAUGUCUGCAAUGUUGCUCCAUAGACUUGCUGAAUACUAGCAUAUCAUCAAAGAAAACCAGAAUGCAUUUUUCCUUUUCUGAUUCAUUUAUCUCCUCACAGACACUGUUCGGUAGACUUUGAAAAGUACCUGGUCCACAAGCAAGUCCAAAAGGAACAACAGUGUACUCAUAGUGGCCCAUGUGUGUUCUGAAAGUAGUUUUUGGAAUAUCCUCUAUGGCCAUUCUGAUUUGAUGAUAUCCAGACCUCAAAUCCAACUUGGAAAACACUUUUGCACCAUGCAACUCAUCCAGGAGAUAUUCUAUAAUGGGCAUUGGAAACUUGUUCUUUACAGUGAUAGCAUUUAACUCCCUAUAGUCCACACAAAGCCUCCAUCCCCCAUCUUUUUUCCUGACCAUAAUUACAGGAGAAGAAAAAGGAUUGAAACUUUCCUGAAUUUCUCCUUUUUUGAUGAGUUGUUUUAUGAUUUCUUUCAUUGCUGCUUUUUGAUAGUAUGGCACUCUAUAGGGUCUUAAAUUUGGAGGUUUUGCUCCUUCCUGCAAAAUGAUCUUAUGAUCACAGCUUCUUGUUGGAGGGAGUGCAGUUGACUAUGCAAAUAUGUCUGCAAAUGUAUGUAGUAAGGGUUGCAGAGCUACUGGAGGAGGUGUAGGAUGUUGGUUGUUCUCAGUUUCCACUUCAUUGAUUUGCAGAAUAUAUGCCAUAACACCCUUUUGUAACAUUUUUUCCAUUCUGGCAUCUGAUAGCAAACAGUGCUUCUUGGGGAUAGAAUGAUCAAAUAGAGUUACUGGUUGUCCUUGUUUUGUGACUACCAGUAAUCUUUCCACUAGAUCUAGACAGAUAGGACUGUAUUGGUAAAUCCAAUCAGCACCUAAAAUCAUGUCAUAUGAUUGCAGUUCCAACACUUUAAAACUACUACAGAAAGUGUGCCCCUGAAUUUUGAAACCCAUGGAAGGAACUUUGGACAGAGAAAUUAGUUUUCCCCCACCAGCUACAGUUACUUUCCUGGGUUGUAUGGGUUGCUGAUGGCAGUUGCUUUUAACUACAAAGUCUUUGCUGAUGGAAGUGUCUGAAGAUCCACUGUCAAAAAGAGUUGUAGCCUUCUUUCCUGCAAUCUCAAUGAUCAAGGAUAGAGUAUUUGGUCCAGGAGUACCCUCUGCAGCAUGAACUGAGAUGUGCAUAGCCUGUGCAGGUUUGUCUACAGUAUUACUGUUUUUCUCCUUGUCAGGUGUAUUUGGAGCAGUGUGGUAAGUUUGUUCUGCACCUGCAUUUUCCUCUGCAGUGUCACUGUCCUCCUCUUCAUCAAGUUCUUGCAGAAUAUGUAAAGUUUUCCCAAUUUUGUACUUAUGAUGUCUUGACCAAGGUUCUCUGCAGUACCAGCAAGCUCUAGCUUCUUUAGGAAAAGGAGCAUUAUUUUUUUCAGGAGUAGGAACUUGUACUUGUAGUGGAGCUGACUGAUUCCUAUAAGAAGCAGAGUAAGUUCUGGAUUUAUAAGUUGCAGGAUUCUGAACUUUUCUAGCAGCUGCAGCUUUCUCAUACACUUUGGCAUACCAAUAGGCCUCUAUAAUUCUAGUGGGUUUCUGUCCGCAAACUUCGUGCUUAAUGUCACUCCUUAACCCUCCAAUGAAACAACUCAGAAGAAAAUUUUCUUGUAAACAGGGGUGGUCUCUUUUUACUAAAGCAACACAUUGCUCAAAAUUGUCAAUGUACUGAGUAACAGUGUUGGUUUGCUGGAUAUUCUUCAGUAGCUCCACUGCCUCAUGCACACUUGCUUCAGAGAAUCUGUCAGCUAUCAUUUGAUAGAACUGUUGCCAAGUGACCAUUUGCCAUGGAACACAAAUAUUUUUAAGCCAGUUAGAAGCUCUGCCUUGUAGGUGUCCAGUAGCCAAAUUUACCCAUUGCUCAUAGGGAGUGCCUGACAUGUCAAAAAAUUUCUCACAUGCAAUAAGCCAUCCAAUGGGAUCCUCUCCAUUAAACAAUGGAAUUUCCAACCUAGGUCCUUUUAAAACUGCUUUUGCAAAAUAAGAUGGACCUCCUAGUUGUGUAGCAUGUUGAUUUCUUUGCAUAUCAUAGAGAUUUCCUACUGCUUGAUAUACAAGAGCUAUCCCUUGGGCUGUAGUUGCUGUGUUGAUGUACUGACCAGUGAUUGGGUUAUAAGUGUGAGGUGGAGAGAACAGGGGAGCACUUACAGGAGCAAAAUACCCACUGUUUCCUGAAAAUCCCAGUGUGUGUGCUUGCACUGUUGCACUGGCAUUUACUGUUGCUCCUCUGAACUGAUUAAUCCCUGGUGCCUCUUGCCGUGGAAGUACACAAACUCUUGUGCUUUCUAUUGCUAACUGAGACACUGGCAAUCCAGUUGAGAGACCUGCUAUACUUGCAAUUGGCCUCUUUUCCUGUCCUCUGAACCUGUUCUAAAUUCCUCAUAACAGGAUCUACUGCACUUUAUCCAUUUGUUUCCUUCUCAAUUGAUGUGUGAUCUUUACCAACCGUCUCAUUCUCCUUGUUUCUUGGCUCUAGGGAUACUGACUUUGUUUUUUGACCUGAUAUGUUCAUUUUCUCCAGAAUCAACUGCAAGGUUUGUUGAAUCCCUGCAUUCAUUUCAGACAGUUUUGCUUCCACUUUUGGCAUAGUAACCAUCUCUGAUCUGAGCUCUUUUACCUCUUGCUUGAGCUCUUGUAAGCCUUCCACUUCUGCGCGUAGAUCUGCCACUUCCUUUUCCACCUGAUCCACUGUGAUUUGAACCUUGGCCCUUGUGUCCGCCAUCUGAGACUGAGAAAUUUCCGCUCGCCUUGCUCUGUGGAAAUCUCUCUGGCACACGAAUCCUGUCAGACCCCGGAAUUUUACCACCAAGAGAAUGUCUCUUAGCAACCGGAUCGGACUCGUAGAUUUGUGCCCGAAUGAUCACCGCCACCGUGUCGCGGCCACCGGUCACCACCGCCGAGAACUGGGAGGGACGGGAGGGAUUUUAUGAGAGACCCCAACCUCCGGUUCUCCGCAGCCCGAUUUCGCCGCCGUUGGCUCGCCGCCUAGGAAAAUCGACUGGCGCUCUGAUACCUUUGUGUGGAUCAAAUCAUCUAGUCGACAGGAUCACCACGAAUUCUUGUAUUUUCAGGCAUAAGACAAGAACAAUUUGUGGGAUACAAGGGGAAUUGCGCGAGAUCGGAGACCCCAUCUUGGUUUGCUAGUUAGGGUUCUAUCUACUGCUAUGGCAUAUGCUUAGAAUAUUCGUGCCGAUCCUUCUUCCUCACGUGGUUUAUAAGCUACACGCCAGCUCUCGAUAACGUACUGUUAUAUUUCAUAACGGUGUCGACAAAUAACCGCUACAGGGUGAAACGGUGAGGAUGAAUCAUAGCCGUUGAUCUGUCCUGACUUCAUCCGAGCCGUCACUUCACUGAAUCUCUUCUUUCUGCAUCUCUUCUUCAGUAAACUCUCGGGUUGGGUCCUGACAUAGCCCGCCCAUGGCCACAACAG